rnacentral:rRNA from 1 species
GCGUUGCUCGGAAUCACUGGGCGUAAAGGGUGCGUAGGCGGGUCUUUAAGUCAGGGGUGAAAUCCUGGAGCUCAACUCCAGAACUGCCUUUGAUACUGAGGAUCUUGAGUAUGGGAGAGGUGAGUGGAACUGCGAAUGGAGAGGUGAAAUUCGUAGAGAUUCGCAAGAACACCAGUGGCGAAGGCGGCUCACUGGCCCAUUACUGACGCUGAGGCACGAAAGCGUG